AGCCCAACAGCUCGCCCCCACAGCUAAAUACAACAAUAAAUUUCAAUAACCCCUAAUUUUCUAAUUUUUUUAACCAAAUCAUUUUUCCCCCUCAGUAUGUGCGACAGAACAGGAAUACGUGAGCGCUAUAGAGAAAGUACCGCAAGGGAAUGCUGAAAGAGAAAUGAAAUAACCCAGUUAAGCUAAGAAAAGCAGAGACCCCCCCUCGUACCUUUUGCAUCAUGAUUUAGCAAGUUUAACCGAGCAUAAAGUUUUUUAGUUCGACAUCCCGAAACUAAUCGAGCUACUCCAAGACAGCCUAAUAGUAGGGCACACCCGUCUCUGUGGCAAAAGAGUGGGAAGAGCUUUGAGUAGAGGUGAUAAACCUACCGAGUUUAGUUAUAGCUGGUUGCCUGCAAAAUAAAUAGAAGUUUAGCCUCUAGCUUUCUUACGUCAAACAAAAGUCCACUUUAAUUUCAGACUACGAGAAUAUAUAGAGAGUUAGUCAAAAGGGGGACAGCCCUUUUGAAUAAAGAAACAACUUUUUUGAGUGGAUAAUAAUUAUAUACUUACAAGGUAAAUGUUUAGGUGGGCCUAAAAGCAGCCACCCUUCAAGAUAGCGUUAAAGCUCAAGCAUAUAACAAACUAAAUAUACCAAUAAUUAAUUAUAAUCCCCCAAAAUUUAUCAAGCUAUUCUAUCCCCCGAUAGAAGAAAUUAUGCUAAUAUGAGUAAUUAGAGAAUAUUUCUCUCCUCGCAUAAGUGUAAAUCGGAGCGGAUGACCCACCGAAUAUUAAUGGCCCCCACUCAAGAGGGGAAAAGAACUGAUAUAGACAACAAGGAAUGCCUCUUAAUUUUCACCAUUAAACCUACACUGGAAUGCCUGCCCGGAAAGACUAAAAAGAGAAGAAGGAACUCGGCAAACACUAAAUAAGCCUCGCCUGUUUACCAAAAACAUCGCCUCUUGCAAUUUAAACAUAAGAGGUCCUGCCUGCCCUGUGAUAUUGUUUAACGGCCGCGGUAUCUUGACCGUGCAAAGGUAGCGCAAUCACUUGUCUUUUAAAUGAAGACCUGUAUGAAUGGCUAAACGAGGGCUUAACUGUCUCCUUCUCUUGGUCCAUGAAAUUGAUUUCUCCGUGCAGAAGCGGAGAUAUCUACAUAAGACGAGAAGACCCUAUGGAGCUUUAAACACAAAGACACUUCAUGUUAAAAAUACUAGACUAAUACUUUAAACCAAUUGAAUCUUUGUCUUAAUGUUUUUGGUUGGGGCGACCACGGGGAAAUAGAUAACCCCCACGCGGAAUAAAAAUAUAUUUUAAAACCAAGAGCCACCACUCUAAGUAACAGAAUAUCUGACCUAAAAUGAUCCGGCAGAGCCGAUCAACGAACCGAGUUACCCUAGGGAUAACAGCGCAAUCCCCUUUUAGAGUCCAUAUCGACAAGGGGGUUUACGACCUCGAUGUUGGAUCAGGACAUCCUAAUGGUGCAGCCGCUAUUUAGGGUUCGUUUGUUCAACGAUUAAAGUCCUACGUGAUCUGAGUUCAGACCGGAGUAAUCCAGGUCAGUUUCUAUCUAUGAAGUGCUUUCUUCCAGUACGAAAGGACCGAAGAAAAGGGGCCAAUUCUUAUAAUACGCCUCACUUUUAUCUAAUGAAAUCAACUAAAAUGGAUAAUUAAGCAUGUAUGUGGGCUAUAGAUAAUAGCUU
rnacentral:rRNA from 1 species